UUCCUGCCACAUCUCUGAAGC
rnacentral:snRNA from 1 species